rnacentral:rRNA from 1 species
AGUCUGACAUGGUGUGCAAGUACUCCGGUGUAAAACCGCUGUGCGUAAUGAAAGUACAGGUUCGCCUUCGGGCGGCCGAGAUGGGACCUUCGGGGCACCAUCGACCGGUCUGUGGGCCACGGUUCACGGGCUGCGUCUGAGCAGAUAUGUUGGGACCCGAAAGAUGGUGAACUAUGCCUGGGUAGGGCGAAGCCAGGGGAAACCCUGGUGGAGGCUCGAAGCGAUUCUGACGUGCAAAUCGAUCGUCAAACCUGGGUAUAGGGGCGAAAGACUAAUCGAACCAUCUAGUAGCUGGUUCCCUCCGAAAUUUCCCUUAGGAUAGCUGCAACUGUAUCCAGUUUUAUCAGGUAAAGCGAAUGAUUAGAGGAUUCAGGGCCGGAAUGGCCUUGACCUAUUCUCAAACUUUAAAUGGGUAAGAAGGGAGGCCUUGCUUAUAUGAAGGCCUCUCGCGAAUGGAAGUUGUUAGUGGGCCACAGCAGGUAAGCUGCUGCGGCGAUGCGGGAUGAACCGAACCGUGGUGUUAAAGCGCCGGACUGUCCGCUCAUCAGAUCCCAA